GUUAUAAAAUGUAGACACUGGAGACUCCUUCCAUAAAUGUUAAAUAAACAUCGCCUUACAUUUACUGUGUCAACAAUUACCCACAUAUUUAAAAUCGGUGGUCAAUUUAAACGGAGCACUGCCAUACACAUUCCUGUAUACAAGUCAUUACAACAGAAACAAUACUGUAUUUGAAUGCGCUAAUUAAUAUAAACUUAAAAUUAAUCAACAAAUCAAAAUUGAAGAUUCAGUGCAGUGGUAUGAAGUCAUUAAGUUGUAGUUCACCUGGUGAUUUUUUAUACUGUGAAGAACCAGCUACAAUCAUUUAAAAAUAUCCCAAGUAAGUACAAAUAACAAUUUUGUGUGUGUGUGUGUGUGUGUGUGUGUGUGUAAUAUUAUUGAAACUAGUAGCUGGUAAAGAAAAAUUUUCUUUUAUUAAAAAGCCACAUAUCACCCAUAAGAUGAAUCUCAUCCCCAUGAUUUAAACAUGUUUUAAAUACAUUCUCCUCCCAUCAUCACCGCAUAUUCAAAUAUAAGUGUCAGGGCUGGACAUCACUCUAUUUAUGAGAUGUGAUGGUCUCUGUUAAACUUUGGAGAACAGAGAAGAUCCCAGUACAAACAACACACACCAUGUUCUCUACAUCUCUACUGCUCCUGCUGGCAGCUGCUUCCUAUGUGCAUGGUGAGGAACUGACUCAGCCUGCUUCCAUGACAGUCCAGCCAGGCCAGAGUCUCUCCAUCAACUGCAAGGUUUCAUAUUCAGUUACAAGCUAUACUACAGCUUGGAUCCGACAACCUGCAGGAAAAGCUCUGGAGUGGAUUGGAUACAUCAGUAGUGGUGGUAGUACAGCUUACAGUGACAAACUGAAAAAUAAGUUCAGCAUCUCCAGAGACACUGCUACUAACACAAUAACAAUUCGAGGACAGAAUCUGCAAACUGAAGACACAGCUGUGUAUUACUGCGCAAGAGACACAGUGACACAGAAUAGUGGAUUCUCCUUACAGAAACUUUAAAACAUGUUAGAGACAUCCCCUCAAUGUAAGUAAACCAUCUCAGUCAAACUUUUACAUUCUUCCAAUGGAAUGAAGUUGUAAUAGCUUGUGUCAUUUUUAAACAAACAGUAGUCAUUUUUAAAAUAAAAUACAUUCUUCA